rnacentral:rRNA from 1 species
UACGUAGGGCGCAAGCGUUAUCCGGAAUUAUUGGGCGUAAAGAGCUCGUAGGCGGUUUGUCGCGUCUGCCGUGAAAGUCCGGGGCUCAACUCCGGAUCUGCGGUGGGUACGGGCAGACUAGAGUGAUGUAGGGGAGACUGGAAUUCCUGGUGUAGCGGUGAAAUGCGCAGAUAUCAGGAGGAACACCCGUGGCUAAGGCGGCUCUCUAGUACGUGACUGACGCUGAGACGCGAAAGCGUGGGGAGCGAACAGG